rnacentral:rRNA from 1 species
GAUGAACGCUGGCGGCGUGCCUAAUACAUGCAAGUCGAGCGAAUGGAUUAAGAGCUUGCUCUUAUGAAGUUAGCGGCGGACGGGUGAGUAACACGUGGGUAACCUGCCCAUAAGACUGGGUUAACUCCGGGAAACCGGGGCUAAUACCGGACAACAUUUUGAACCGCAUGGUUCGAAAUUGAAAGGCGUCUUCGGCUGUCACUUAUGGAUGGAACCGCGUCGCAUUAGCUAGUUGGUGAGGUAACGGCUCACCAAGGCAACGAUGCGUAGCCGACCUGAGAGGGUGAUCGGCCACACUGGGACUGAGACACGGCCCAGACUCCUACGGGAGGCAGCAGUAGGGAAUCUUCCGCAAUGGACGAAAGUCUGACGGAGCAACGCCGCGUGAGUGAUGAAGGCUUUCGGGUCGUAAAACUCUGUUGUUAGGGAAGAACAAGUGCUAGUUGAAUAAGCUGGCACCUUGACGGUACCUAACCAGGAAGCCACGGCUAACUACGUGCCAGCCGCCGCGGUAA